GAGGACUUAGCUUAAUUAAAGUGUUUGAUUUGCGUUCAGAAGAUGUGAGGUGUGGUCUUGCAGUCCUUA
rnacentral:tRNA from 1 species